rnacentral:rRNA from 1 species
AUGAACGCUGGCGGCGUGCCUAAUACCUGCAAGUCGAGCGAACAGACGAGGAGCUUGCUCCUCUGACGUUAGCGGCGGACGGGUGAGUAACACGUGGAUAACCUACCUAUAAGACUGGGAUAACUUCGGGAAACCGGAGCUAAUACCGGAUAAUAUAUUGAACCGCAUGGUUCAAUAGUGAAAGACGGUUUUGCUGUCACUUAUAGAUGGAUCCGCGCCGCAUUAGCUAGUUGGUAAGGUAACGGCUUACCAAGGCGACGAUGCGUAGCCGACCUGAGAGGGUGAUCAGCCACACUGGAACUGAGACACGGUCCAGACUCCUACGGGAGGCAGCAGUAGGGAAUCUUCCGCAAUGGGCGAAAGCCUGACGGAGCAACGCCGCGUGAGUGAUGAAGGUCUUCGGAUCGUAAAACUCUGUUAUUAGGGAAGAACAAAUGUGUAAGUAACUAUGCACGUCUUGACGGUACCUAAUCAGAAAGCCACGGCUAACUACGUG